GGUCAAUUGCUAUAUUCACAUAUAGAGGAAAGUCCAUGCUUGCACAUUCUGAGAUGAAUGUAGUGUUUUAGUAGAAUUAACAAAUAAAUUCUAGUGCAGUUUUCUGCAACGGCAAAAUUAAUUGCUAAAAUCUUAGAUCAUGUAAUUAAUUUGUAAAGUGCCACAGUGACGAAUCAACGAGAAAUUGUUGGGUGAAACGCGGUAAACCCCUAAAGCAAGAAACCUAAAUUAUGGUAAGGGAACGUAAUUAUUAGAAUUCAAUAAUAAUUAUGACAUAAUUCAAAAUUAUGUAGAUAAAUAAUUGACACUAUUUAUAGUACAGAACAUGGCUUACA
rnacentral:RNase_P_RNA from 1 species